AAGGCCUGAUGUGUGUGAGAUUACCCGCUGAAUUUAAGCAUAUAAGUAAGCGGAGGAAAAGAAACUAACUAGGAUUCCCUUAGUAAUGGCGAUGAACAGGAUCAGCUCAGUGCCAAUCGGAUCACUUGUGGUUCUGAAAUGUGGCUUGAAGGCAGUACAGUGGCAUCGCGGACGAAA
rnacentral:ncRNA from 1 species